UCAUCGACGACCAUCUUGUUGAUAUUAACAUCAACAAAUCCUCUGAAACUUUAAUAACUGUUAUUUAUGGUUAAUACAUUGUUAACUCAUCAAAGGAGGUAUGUAUAUGAUUAUUGUACUUUUAACUCUUUCAGUGCUGGAACCGAAUUUUGAAGGCCUUUGAAAACAGUCUGGAUCCAGAUGAGACGCCACAGAACGUGGCGUCUCAUCAGGAUCCAAACUGUUUGCUAUUCUGAUAGUAUUCUUUGAAAAAAAUCGAAGAAAAUAUCUACUGACUGAAAACAAAAAGCUGGAGAUAGAGUUGCUGGUUUCGAUAAUGGAGUUCGUAGUCUUUCUUGUCUUCUAGAGUGCAGAGUUCAACGAUGGCGGUGUGUAAGCAGCUUCCAAAGAAGAGGCACCUGCAGCACUCUGGUCUUCUCGCAUUGCGUAGCGGUGGUCAUUAUCGAUCAGUGAAGUUUGAGCUGAAGAAUUUUUUCGGGAGAGUCGGAACACAAUCAAAGUUUGAUGAGGGAAUAUCUCUGUUCGUAGUUUAUAUAACUGAUUUGAAUGUGGACUUACAUCAACCACUGCAAUGGUUUGAGAGCGACACUCAAGUCGAUUGAAUGGGUACUUGGCUGUACUACUUUUCAACAUCUCAGAAUGGGCAACGAUGAUAGCUGGAUUGACUCCGACUUUCUUUGCUAGAAGUCUGUUCUGACGGAGAAACUGAGUUGAUGCUGACACUACUUUCUGGAGCAGACUUUUGUGAGGUUGCAAAUCCCUUCCCAACCUGAGAAGGCUUCCAUUGCUGUGGAGUGCAUUGAACGACAUCAUGGCCUAGAAGAACAUACCCGGGGAUAAUACCAGCAGCAACAAGUACCACGCAACCGCCAAAAUGCACGCCGCCAUUUUGAAGCACGUCUGAGUGAACCGAUGGUUUCCAUGGAUUCCAUGAAGAUUCAAUUGAUUUGCUGGUUUUUAAUUGUCCAAUUAUUUUUAAAAAUAAACAUUUUGGUGAA